rnacentral:rRNA from 1 species
GUGGGGAAUAUUGGACAAUGGGCGAAAGCCUGAUCCAGCCAUGUCGCGUGUGUGAAGAAGGUCUUCGGAUUGUAAAGCACUUUAAGUUGGGAGGAAGGGCAGUAAGUUAAUACCUUGCUGUUUUGACGUUACCGACAGAAUAAGCACCGGCUAACUUCGUGCCAGCAGCCGCGGUAAUACGAAGGGUGCAAGCGUUAAUCGGAAUUACUGGGCGUAAAGCGCGCGUAGGUGGUUUUGUAAGUUGGAGGUGAAAUCCCCGGGCUCAACCUGGGAACUGCCUCCAAAACUGCAUGACUAGAGUACGGUAGAGGGUAGUGGAAUUUCCUGUGUAGCGGUGAAAUGCGUAGAUAUAGGAAGGAACACCAGUGGCGAAGGCGACUACCUGGACUGAUACUGACACUGAGGUGCGAAAGCGUGGGGAGCAAACAGGAUUAGAUACCCCUGUAGUCC